UACGGGGGGGGCAAGCGUUGUUCGGAAUUACUGGGCGUAAAGGGUUCGUAGGUGGCCAACUAAGUCAGACGUGAAAUCCCUCAGCUUAACUGGGGAACUGCGUCUGAUACUGGUUGGCUUGAGUGCAGGAGAGGAAUGCGGAAUUCCAGGUGUAGCGGUGAAAUGCGUAGAUAUCUGGAGGAACACCGGUGGCGAAGGCGGCAUCCUGGACCAACACUGACGCUGAGGAGCGAAAGCCAGGGGAGCAAACGGG
rnacentral:rRNA from 1 species